GAUGAACGCUGGCGGCGUGCCUAAUACAUGCAAGUAGAACGCUGAAGGAAGGAGCUUGCUCUUUCCGGAUGAGUUGCGAACGGGUGAGUAACGCGUAGGUAACCUGCCUGGUAGCGGGGGAUAACUAUUGGAAACGAUAGCUAAUACCGCAUAACAGUAGAUAUUGCAUGAUAUCUGCUUGAAAGGUGCAAUUGCAUCACUACCAGAUGGACCUGCGUUGUAUUAGCUAGUUGGUGAGGUAACGGCUCACCAAGGCGACGAUACAUAGCCGACCUGAGAGGGUGAUCGGCCACACUGGGACUGAGACACGGCCCAGACUCCUACGGGAGGCAGCAGUAGGGAAUCUUCGGCAAUGGACGGAAGUCUGACCGAGCAACGCCGCGUGAGUGAAGAAGGUUUUCGGAUCGUAAAGCUCUGUUGUAAGAGAAGAACGAGUGUGAGAGUGGAAAGUUCACACUGUGACGGUAUCUUACCAGAAAGGGACGGCUAACUACGUGCCAGCAGCCGCGGUAAUACGUAGGUCCCGAGCGUUAUCCGGAUUUAUUGGGCGUAAAGCGAGCGCAGGCGGUUAGAUAAGUCUGAAGUUAAAGGCUGUGGCUUAACCAUAGUACGCUUUGGAAACUGCUUAACUUGAGUGCAAGAGGGGAGAGUGGAAUUCCAUGUGUAGCGGUGAAAUGCGUAGAUAUAUGGAGGAACACCGGUGGCGAAAGCGGCUCUCUGGCUUGUAACUGACGCUGAGGCUCGAAAGCGUGGGGAGCAAACAGG
rnacentral:rRNA from 1 species